rnacentral:rRNA from 1 species
UACGAAGGGGGCUAGCGUUGUUCGGAAUUACUGGGCGUAAAGCGUGCGCAGGCGGUGAUGUAAGACAGUUGUGAAAUCCCCGGGCUCAACCUGGGAACUGCAUCUGUGACUGCAUCGCUGGAGUGCGGCAGAGGGGGGAUGGAAUUCCGCGUGUAGCAGUGAAAUGCGUAGAUAUGCGGAGAACACCGAUGGCGAAGGCAAUCCCCUGGGCCUGCACUGACGCUCAUGCACGAAAGCGUGGGGAGCAAACAGG